UCGUGAUGCCAUUGUAUCCCAAAGGA
rnacentral:piRNA from 1 species